AGCAGUGAGUCGGAGCUCUAUGGAGGUGGCAGCGGGUACCGAGUGGCGGCUGCAGCAGCGACUCCUCUGAGCUGAGUUUGAGGCCGUCCCCGACUCCUUCCUCCCCCUUCCCUCCCCCUUUUUUUUGUUUUCCGUUCCCCUUUCCCCUCCCUUCCCUAUCCCCGACGACCGGAUCCUGAGGAGGCAGCUGCGGUGGCAGCUGCUGAGUUCUCGGUGAAGGUAUUUCAUUUCUCCUGUCCCCUCCCCUCCCCACCCCAUCUAUUAAUAUUAUUCUUUUGAAGAUUCUUCGUUGGCAAAACGCUCAGAAAUGGAUUCCUGCACGAAGCACUAGACGAGAUGACAACUCCGCAGCAAACAACUCCGCAAACGAAAAAGAACGACAUGAUGCAAUCUUCAGGAAAGUAAGAGGCAUACUAAAUAAGCUUACUCCUGAAAAGUUUGACAAGCUAUGCCUUGAGCUCCUCAAUGUGGGUGUAGAGUCUAAACUCAUCCUUAAAGGGGUCAUACUGCUGAUUGUGGACAAAGCCCUAGAAGAGCCAAAGUAUAGCUCACUGUAUGCUCAGCUAUGUCUGCGAUUGGCAGAAGAUGCAC
rnacentral:lncRNA from 10 species